GCAGCCGCCACGGUAAUACAGAGGGUGCAAGCGUUAAUCGGAAUUACUGGGCGUAAAGCGCGCGUAGGUGGUUUGUUAAGUUGGAUGUGAAAGCCCCGGGCUCAACCUGGGAACUGCAUCCAAAACUGGCAAGCUAGAGUACGGUAGAGGGUGGUGGAAUUUCCUGUGUAGCGGUGAAAUGCGUAGAUAUAGGAAGGAACACCAGUGGCGAAGGCGACCACCUGGACUGAUACUGACACUGAGGUGCGAAAGCGUGGGGAGCAAACAGGAUUAGAUACCCGCGUAGUCCCUGUCUCUUAUAC
rnacentral:rRNA from 1 species